rnacentral:ncRNA from 1 species
AUAAUGAUACUUCCGGCAAUAGUCCGGUCUGAAGAAGAUGGUGCAAUUCCAAUGG